GUCANAUAUAUGCCCCUUAUGACCUGGGCUCACACGUGCUCAAUGGGUUGGUACAACGGGAUGCUACCUCGCGAGAGGACGCCAAUCUCUGAAAACCAAUCUCAGUUCGGAUUGUAGGCUGCAACUCGCCUACAUGAAGUCGGAAUCGCUAGUAAUCGCGGAUCAGCAUGCCGCGGUGAAUACGUUCCCGGGCCUUGUACACACCGCCCGUCACACCACGGGAGUUUGCAACACCCGAAGUCGGUGAGGUAACCGCAAGGNGCCAGCCGCCGAAGGUGGGGUAGAUGACUGGGGUGAAGUCGUAACAAGGUAUCCGUACCGGAAGGUGCGGUUGGAUCANCCCCCUAG
rnacentral:rRNA from 1 species